GAAUUUAAGUUAAUAAAACUAUAAACCUUCAAAGUUUAAAAUAAUAAAAAUUAAUUCUUA
rnacentral:tRNA from 1 species